rnacentral:rRNA from 1 species
CUCGUAGGUGGCUUUGUAAGUCGGAGGUGAAAUCCCACGGCUCAACCGUGGACACGCCUUCGAAACUGUGAAGCUUGAGGCUGGGAGAGGAAAUCGGAAUUCCUGGUGUAGCGGUGAAAUGCGUAGAUAUCAGGAGGAACACCGGUGGCGAAGGCGGAUUUCUGGACCAGUUCUGACACUGAUGAGCGAAAGCCAGGGGAGCAAACA